rnacentral:rRNA from 1 species
UACAGAGGUCUCAAGCGUUGUUCGGAUUCAUUGGGCGUAAAGGGUGCGUAGGCGGCGCGGUAAGUCGGGUGUGAAAUCUUGGAGCUUAACUCCGAAACUGCAUUCGAUACUGCCGUGCUUGAGGACUGGAGAGGAGACUGGAAUUUACGGUGUAGCGGUGAAAUGCGUAGAUAUCGUAAGGAAGACCAGCGGCGAAGGCGGGUCUCUGGACAGUUCCUGACGCUGAGGCACGAAGGCCAGGGGAGCAAACGGG